UUAGAAAGAAUGCCCAAUUGCAAACAUGGAAAUGUUUAGAAUAAUUAAAUAGAAAGUAUCUAUUAUAAAAAUGGUUCAUUUGUGUUGCAUAACUUACUUAAAAAUGUACCCAAUCAGCAUUGCCUUGUGUGAGCACCAUUUUGGCUUGCUGUUGGUUAAGCACUUUAAGUGCCUUUUUGGUUUCAGUUGUUGUAAUUACACCAGCUCUAGUCAUGUAUGUUUAAUUUCCCUCAUUUAAUUGCAUACUCGUAAUUUUGUUACCGUAUGAGUUUUUCUUUAAACACCUUCCCUUAUCAGGAUUCAUAAAAAUUCCAUAGAGUGGAGAGAGUAUGCAUAUAGCUAAAUAAAUAUGAAUUAUAAAAAUGCUUAUGAAAUUACUUAGAAUCAUAUACAAAAGGAAUACACUUUACUUUAUAUCCGUAUACUCGUUUAUGGUUCAUACUUGUGAUGUGUGUUGGUGCUUGCCUAGAACCAUGAAGUGUUUGUCUGGUGUGUCAUUCUUAUAUGUUGGUGUUUGGGCUUCACUAAAGUACGUGUUGGUGCAUGCCUUGCGUGGAAUGUACCUUCUUUGUAUAAAUAUACAAGUAAUAGUGCUCUUUGCAUGUGUUACUUAUUCUAUAAAACUGGGUUGUUUUCUUUUUGUAGAAGUUUCCUGUAUGGCUAUGAUCAUAUAAACCUUCAUCCCACAUGGAGUGUGGACUACAUUCCUAUUCUGUCUUGUCAAUAUCGUAAAGAGUGAGAACUUUACAUUGUUUGUCGACUUAGUGCAAACCGUUUUCCUUUAUCUGGAGGACCGGUAAACCAUCUCUUUCAAUGAAAAGAGUCUGACUUUAGAAGUUCAUAAUAUGAGAAGCUUUUUUAGAUGAAAGAUUUCUCUACCUAAAUACAAAGGCGAGGAUUGGAAGGGCAUGCAUAUUCUGGCAAGGACAGUCAGAGCUGUAACUUCAGCGGCAAUAUGACUACUGGGAGGCUAAAGAGACAAGAGGACGUUUUCAUAGGCAAGAAGAGGCAAAAGAUAUGAACAAGAGUGUGCCUUUUUCCAUGGCGAAGCGCUUUAGGCGAACCUUGUGAUAGCGAAUGUUGAGCCAUUUAUAAACACAUAUGGGAAGGGCAAACAUAGUAUGUGUAUAACAUGAUUAUAGUAGAUAAUCCUUUAAAGUUGACUACACCUAUUGUUUCUCAAGGUCAUGGGUUUUCAAGGUCCCAAGUAGGCAUGCAACUCAGGAUAGUCGUAAACUUUGCUCUCUCACUCCAUUACUGGGCCCCUCAAAGGUAUCAUCAAAAUUGAUGCCCAUCAUAUACUAAACUUUAGAUUUACGUGAGUUUAGUACAGGUUGGAUUUUUGGUUUUUGUCUAUAUAUAUUGUAUAGCUAGUUUCUUAGGUUACAGGUUUUCUAAUAGUUUAGAGUCUUUUUCACCAUCGGAGCAACAAUUCUAUGUUGGUCUUUUUGUACAUGAUGUUUUGAGUUUUUGCAUGAUAUAUACAGGUUGGAGGUUCCGUUCCAACCCCCUUGCGACCGGUGAGAUUCAUUAUUAAAAUAAAAAGGUCCCAAGCAAAUGACCCUAAUGGAGUUAUAAAACAUUUUUUUAGAAUAAAAUACAUUUAUUGAUAAGAAAGCACACAAAUAAUACAAGAGGAUUUGAAAGAAAGGAAGUUGCGAAAGCCAAAUAGAUUGUUAAAAAACGAUCUGGGUUUCCAACCUAAAAUCAAUUGGUAUUAAGUGACCUUCACCCUUAUAAAGUAGAAGAGCCCCAACAUCAUAUUCAAUGUAGGACAAUAUUCAACCCUCUCCUCUCGAGACGAUAAUCUCGAAAAUCCAUACAGGAUCAAUACUCAAUAUGGAUACCAUGUUAAGAAGGGAUCCGAAUUUUCAACCUAAAACUAAUUGGUGAUUGGUGGAGUGGCCUUCACCCUUUAAAGUAGGAGAGCCCCAACAUCAUGUCCAAUGUGGGACAAUAUUCGACAUAGAUAAAUCAGCAUUUCCUCUAGCACCACACUAGCAAAGUGGCUUUCCACUGCAUUUGCACUUCUAAGAAAAAAUAAUGAGGGUAUCUUUCAAGAAAGCGCUGCAACUUGUUGAACUCAAAAUCUAAUUUAUAAGGUGGGGUAUAGCUGUGGAUUUAUGCAAGAGCAUUUUUUGGGGAGAAGUCCUAGUUGGUGUUUUAGAAUAGCUUCAAGAGUGUAAAUAAUCGCCAAAAAUUUUCCACGUUUGAAUCCUUAAUGCCAAUGAACUCGUAAAUGAUGAAGAGGAAGUGGUUUUUAUGGUCUCUAAUAACUGCUCCAAGAUUACCAAAUGCUGAGCCAUAAGCCAUUAGUAUUGAUUCUCCACGAAGAAUGUUCCAAUAACUCCAUUUGGCAACUUGCUUGGGACCUGGUGAUUUUGUAUGGGCAUGAGAGAUGUCUUCAAGGUUUGUCAGUAAGGAAAUUAAGGAAGAUUCCUGCUAGGGAAAUGAGCUUGGUACCAUUCAUCAACUGUCUAGCAGGCUUGAAGAAUGACCUAUUCAGCAGAAAAUCUUUAUUGUUUGAAAUAAUACCAUUUCGGGCCUUCCAAAUCUCCUAAAGAAUGGCUUUGCACAAUCUCCCAAAUCUGGAUAUUUGUAUGGAGUGAGCGAGGGAAGACCAUUGGAAAAUGAGAUCAUGAACGAAUGGAGGAAAUAUGGAAUACUAUGGGGUAAAGGAGGAAAAGAUGGUAGACCAAAUCGCAAUGAAGGUGGCAAAGAAGGCAAGCUACUUCUGGAAUCCAACAGCCUCUAUGUACAAGAAUAUCUCUAAUUGAGAGGUGGCCUGAAAGAAUCUUCCAAACAAAGGUAUUAUCUUCGAGAGAUGCAUUAGGGGACCUAUACAAAACCUACAAAUAGAAACAUAUAUUUUAUUUACCAUAUUAUUUUGCUUUGAUGGUGCAUCCAAGUACCAUUGGCAUCUAUUAGUAGUACAAAAACUUUAGCGCGAGAUUUAGAGAUAAUUAUUGAGAUUUUCAAUUUACUUCGAUAUUAAGAGUACUAGGUACAAUCCUAGUUGUUAGCAGAACAAAGGCUCUUUGAGGUCACGAUUCAUGGUGCAUGGCGUGGCUAUUGCCAUAAAUAAUUACAACGCAGUCAUUUUUAAUAUAGAACUAUAUAUGAGUCCUUGAGCUAUUAAUCUAAAAAUUAUAUUCCUUCCGCUCGUGAAAAUUAUGUAAGUUUGUUUGGACACGAAAACUAAUAAAUAAUAAUAUAUUAAUGUUAAAGUAGGGUAACUAAAAAAUAAAGUAGGGGCUAUUAUGGGAAAUUUAUUAAAAAUUGAUAAAAAUAUGAUGAGGUAAGUAGAAAAGUAGCGUCAAAUUGGUUAUAUUUGUUAAAAUAGAGGUAAUUAAAUUUUAGAUGGAUAAAGUUUUUUAACUAUAAAUGAAUUAGGCAUAAGUUUAAGUUUAGCGGAUGGCCCAAAAAGGAAUAGUGAGAUAAGUUUAGUAGGGGACGGAGGGAACAUAUACUCAAGAUGUUAAUAUAGCUACAAAUAAAUCUACUUAUAAGAAUAAUAUUUAAUAAGUCUCAAAGCAUUAAUCAUCAAAAUAAAUUUUAACAUUUAUAUGUUUGGGGUAUUAGGCAUACAGUUUCCAAUUAUGUGUAUAUAAUUAUAUAUUAAAAACGUGUGUGAAAAAAAAAAAAAAAAAAAA